UACGUAGGGGGCUAGCGUUGUCCGGAUUUAUUGGGCGUAAAGAGCGUGUAGGCGGCCAGGUAGGUCAGCUGUGAAACUCGAGGCUCAACCUCGAGACGUCGGUUGAAACCACCUGGCUAGAGUCCGGAAGAGGAGAGUGGAAUUCCUGGUGUAGCGGUGAAAUGCGCAGAUAUCAGGAAGAACACCCGUGGCGAAGGCGGCUCUCUGGGACGGUACUGACGCUGAGACGCGAAAGCGUGGGGAGCGAACAGG
rnacentral:rRNA from 1 species